AUUAAACUGUGGUAUAAGUUAAGUAAUUAAUUCAUCACAACAAUUAAAUUAUGUAUAAUGAAGUUACAUACAUCUGUAGGCUACACACAGGCUCUUCCAAAAUGUUUCAGGUUUCGACAUUAAUAGCCAAAAAUGUAAAUCUCAUCCUCCAUCCCUCUUCAGCAAACGAAGAAGAUACAACAUCAGACAGGCACGGUUGACUUCUUUUCCGCCUCGUGUGGCUGAGCAUUGUCAACUGUUUGCUCUUGAACUACCUUCUGUUCAACUGCCGG
rnacentral:misc_RNA from 1 species